CUCAGCAUCUCCUGGUAGGCUUUUCCUCCUAAGGCCUGGCAGCCAAAAUAGGUUGGCUCGGGACCUUGUAUGGUGAAUAGCAUCAGCUGGCAAGGAGUCUAACAAACAGU
rnacentral:lncRNA from 1 species